rnacentral:rRNA from 1 species
GAUGAACGCUGGCGGCGUGCCUAAUACAUGCAAGUCGAGCGAAUGGAUUAAGAGCUUGCUCUUAUGAAGUUAGCGGCGGACGGGUGAGUAACACGUGGGUAACCUGCCCAUAAGACUGGGAUAACUCCGGGAAACCGGGGCUAAUACCGGAUAACAUUUUGAACCGCAUGGUUCGAAAUUGAAAGGCGGCUUCGGCUGUCACUUAUGGAUGGACCCGCGUCGCAUUAGCUAGUUGGUGAGGUAACGGCUCACCAAGGCAACGAUGCGUAGCCGACCUGGGAGGGUGAUCGGCCACACUGGGACUGAGAAACGGCCCAGACUCCUACGGGAGGCAGCAGUAGGGAAUCCUCCGCAAUGGACGAAAGUCUGACGGAGCAACGCCGCGUGAGUGAUGAAGGCUUUCGGGUCGUAAAACUCUGUUGUUAGGGAAGAACAAGUGCUAGUUGAAUAAGCUGGCACCUUGACGGUACCUAACCAGAAAGCCACGGCUAACUACGUGCCAGCCGCCGCAGUAA